AUGUGGAUGAGUACUUAAUGGAUACUUCCAUGACUGGUCAAGACCACAAAUGAAAGCCGUUUGUCAGGGCUGGCUAGAUGUCCUGGACCUGACCUGAAUGGCCACCACAGUAAAGGUGAUGUGUAGACAGAGAAUGGGAAAACUGAGUGUGGAAGACAUCCAAAGAGCCCAGCUAUCCAUUCUGUAUUCGUUGGACGGAGAACUGAUAAGGGCAUGUGUCUGACACUUUCCGCCGAUGAUAGAGAGAGCUGUACUACAAAGAAAAACUCUCCUGUCCAGCAGCAGCAUUACUACCUGUAUCCUUAACUGGGUCAUUAGGGUAACUGGAGUUAUAUCUACUCCAGUCUCAAUAUGUUACAACCUAUUCAUAACACUUGUUUGCUUCUUUUUCACAGAAAACAAUUUGAAUUUUUUUCUCAGAAAACCCAUGGAAUCAAUCCUCUGAAUGCAUGUAUUUUUUGUAUCCCUUCAGGUUGCUAUUGUAUGCAAAACAUUUGGUGACUCAUACUAGCAUUCAUAGCAACUUCAUUCUGUAUAGAGGUCAAUCUUCUAUUAUUAUUAUGUAUGAGCAAUGAGUAUAUGAUCACAUAUGAAUUGUACGCUUUACAAAAACACAAUUUUUUAAUAAUUUGCUCAGUCAAAAAACAGAUUGUGCAUCUGUUUGAUAUUCUGAUGUAAUUCAGAAGGCUGAAUUCAACCUGGUGAAUCCAGGCUGGAUCCAGAGUAGAACCCCUCUACACAGCAACAGGUUGGAGACAACAUGGGCCACUAAUUAAACAUUCACUGCAUGAGUUGACUGCCUACUACAGACUGUACUGAGCUGGAGUUGGGACCUGUGAGAGUGAGCAUUCCUGAAACUGUGGUGGCAGGCAUAAUUACAGAGCAGCAGCACUCAGACAGUCAGGUUUGGCCAACAUUUAAGGCCCCAGGGCAAAAUCCAAAGCACACUUCAAAUCAUGGUGUCUAAUAUAUUGAUGUAAUAUUUAAAUGAUGCAUGAGCACCAUGAUGACCAAACUCAUUAAUAAAAUAUGAGAUGUUAUGUGGUUUUCAGGUAAACAAGUAGAAAACGUGAGAAAUACUGACAACAAUUAUGAUGAAAAUAAAAAGCUAAUUGCUGUU